rnacentral:rRNA from 1 species
UACGUAGGAUCCAAGCGUUGUCCGGAUUUACUGGGCGUAAAGGGUGCGCAGGCGGACUGGUAAGUCUGGGGUGAAAUCUCAGCGCUUAACGGUGAAACUGCCUUAGAUACUGCCAGUCUUGAAUCAGCGAGAGGUUCGUGGAAUUCCGAGUGUAGCAGUGAAAUGUGUAGAUAUUCGGAAGAACACCAGUGGCGAAGGCAGCGAACUGGCGCUCGAUUGACGCUCAGGCACGAAAGCAUGGGGAUCAAACAGG